rfam:Salmo salar isolate Sally breed double haploid chromosome ssa10, whole genome shotgun sequence.
UUCAUUCACUACUGUAAGUCGCUCUGGAUAAGAGCAUCUGCUAAAUGACUGAAA